GAUGAAGAACGUAGCGAAAUGCGAUAAGUAAUGUGAAUUGCAGAAUUCAGUGAAUCAUCGAAUCUUUGAACGCACAUUGCGCCCCUUGGUAUUCCGAGGGGCAUGCCUGUUCGAGCGUCAUUAUAACCCCUCAAGCUCAGCUUGGUGUUGGGGCCUGCCGCACGGGCAGCCCUUAAAAUCAGUGGCGGUGCUAUCUGGCUCUAAGCGUAGUAAUUCUUCUCGCUAUAGAGUCCCGGUGGAUGCUUGCCAUUAACCCCCAAUUUUCUAUGGAUGACCUCGGAUCAGGUAGGGAUACCCGCUGAACUUAAGCAUAUCAAUAAGCGGAGGA
rnacentral:misc_RNA from 1 species